GGGUUGUGAGGUUAAGCGACUAAGCGUACACGGUGGAUGCCCUGGCAGUCAGAGGCGAUGAAGGACGUGCUAAUCUGCGAAAAGCGCCGGCGAGGUGAUAUGAACCUUUGACCCGGCGAUGUCCGAAUGGGGAAACCCAGUGUGAUUCGUCACACUAUCGUUAACUGAAUACAUAGGUUAACGAGGCGAACCGGGGGAACUGAAACAUCUAAGUACCCCGAGGAAAAGAAAUCAACCGAGAUUCCCCCAGUAGCGGCGAGCGAACGGGGAGCAGCCCAGAGUCUGAAUCAGCUUGUGUGUUAGUGGAACGGUCUGGAAAGUCCGGCGAUACAGGGUGACAGCCCCGUACACGAAAGCACACAGGUUGUGAACUCGAAGAGUAGGGCGGGACACGUGGUAUCCUGUCUGAAUAUGGGGGGACCAUCCUCCAAGGCUAAAUACUCCUGACUGACCGAUAGUGAACCAGUACCGUGAGGGAAAGGCGAAAAGAACCCCGGCGAGGGGAGUGAAAAAGAACCUGAAACCGUGUACGUACAAGCAGUGGGAGCACCUUCGUGGUGUGACUGCGUACCUUUUGUAUAAUGGGUCAGCGACUUAUAUUCUGUAGCAAGGUUAACCGUAUAGGGGAGCCGAAGGGAAACCGAGUCUUAACUGGGCGUUAAGUUGCAGGGUAUAGACCCGAAACCCGGUGAUCUAGCCAUGGGCAGGUUGAAGGUUGGGUAACACUAACUGGAGGACCGAACCGACUAAUGUUGAAAAAUUAGCGGAUGACUUGUGGCUGGGGGUGAAAGGCCAAUCAAACCGGGAGAUAGCUGGUUCUCCCCGAAAGCUAUUUAGGUAGCGCCUCGUGAACUCAUCUUCGGGGGUAGAGCACUGUUUCGGCUAGGGGGCCAUCCCGGCUUACCAACCCGAUGCAAACUACGAAUACCGAAGAAUGUUAUCACGGGAGACACACGGCGGGUGCUAACGUCCGUCGUGAAGAGGGAAACAACCCAGACCGCCAGCUAAGGUCCCAAAGUCAUGGUUAAGUGGGAAACGAUGUGGGAAGGCACAGACAGCCAGGAUGUUGGCUUAGAAGCAGCCAUCAUUUAAAGAAAGCGUAAUAGCUCACUGGUCGAGUCGGCCUGCGCGGAAGAUGUAACGGGGCUAAACCAUGCACCGAAGCUGCGGCAGCGACGCUUAGGCGUUGUUGGGUAGGGGAGCGUUCUGUAAGCCGUUGAAGGUGUGCUGUGAGGCAUGCUGGAGGUAUCAGAAGUGCGAAUGCUGACAUAAGUAACGAUAAUGCGGGUGAAAAGCCCGCACGCCGGAAGACCAAGGGUUCCUGUCCAACGUUAAUCGGGGCAGGGUGAGUCGACCCCUAAGGCGAGGCCGAAAGGCGUAGUCGAUGGGAAACAGGUUAAUAUUCCUGUACUUGGUGUUACUGCGAAGGGGGGACGGAGAAGGCUAUGUUAGCCGGGCGACGGUUGUCCCGGUUUAAGCAUGUAGGCGGAACGAUUAGGUAAAUCCGGUCGUUUAUUAACGCUGAGGUGUGAUGACGAGGCACUACGGUGCUGAAGUAACAAAUGCCCUGCUUCCAGGAAAAGCCUCUAAGCAUCAGGUAACAUCAAAUCGUACCCCAAACCGACACAGGUGGUCAGGUAGAGAAUACCAAGGCGCUUGAGAGAACUCGGGUGAAGGAACUAGGCAAAAUGGUGCCGUAACUUCGGGAGAAGGCACGCUGAUAUGUAGGUGAAGCCCCUGCGGGUGGAGCUGAAAUCAGUCGAAGAUACCAGCUGGCUGCAACUGUUUAUUAAAAACACAGCACUGUGCAAACACGAAAGUGGACGUAUACGGUGUGACGCCUGCCCGGUGCCGGAAGGUUAAUUGAUGGGGUUAGCGGCAACGCGAAGCUCUUGAUCGAAGCCCCGGUAAACGGCGGCCGUAACUAUAACGGUCCUAAGGUAGCGAAAUUCCUUGUCGGGUAAGUUCCGACCUGCACGAAUGGCGUAAUGAUGGCCAGGCUGUCUCCACCCGAGACUCAGUGAAAUUGAACUCGCUGUGAAGAUGCAGUGUACCCGCGGCAAGACGGAAAGACCCCGUGAACCUUUACUAUAGCUUGACACUGAACACUGGUCCUUGAUGUGUAGGAUAGGUGGGAGGCUUUGAAGCGUGGACGCCAGUCUGCGUGGAGCCGACCUUGAAAUACCACCCUUUAAUGGCUGGUGUUCUAACGUAGACCCGUAAUCCGGGUUGCGGACAGUGUCUGGUGGGUAGUUUGACUGGGGCGGUCUCCUCCCAAAGAGUAACGGAGGAGCACGAAGGUUAGCUAAUCCUGGUCGGACAUCAGGAGGUUAGUGCAAUGGCAUAAGCUAGCUUGACUGCGAGAGUGACGGCUCGAGCAGGUGCGAAAGCAGGUCAUAGUGAUCCGGUGGUUCUGAAUGGAAGGGCCAUCGCUCAACGGAUAAAAGGUACUCCGGGGAUAACAGGCUGAUACCGCCCAAGAGUUCAUAUCGACGGCGGUGUUUGGCACCUCGAUGUCGGCUCAUCACAUCCUGGGGCUGAAGUAGGUCCCAAGGGUAUGGCUGUUCGCCAUUUAAAGUGGUACGCGAGCUGGGUUUAGAACGUCGUGAGACAGUUCGGUCCCUAUCUGCCGUGGGCGCUGGAGAAUUGAGGGGGGCUGCUCCUAGUACGAGAGGACCGGAGUGGACGCAUCACUGGUGUUCGGGUUGUCAUGCCAAUGGCACUGCCCGGUAGCUAAAUGCGGAAAAGAUAAGUGCUGAAAGCAUCUAAGCACGAAACUUGCCCCGAGAUGAGUUCUCCCUGACCCUUUAAGGGUCCUGAAGGAACGUUGAAGACUACGACGUUGAUAGGUCGGGUGUGUAAGCGCAGCGAUGCGUUGAGCUAACCGAUACUAAUGAACCGUGAGGCUUAACCUUACAACGCCGAAGCUGUU
rnacentral:rRNA from 1 species